GUGCAUUGUAUUUCUCUCUCUCUCUCUCUCUCUCUCUCUGUGUGUGUGUGUGUGUGAGAGAGAGAGAGAGAGAGAGAGAGAGAGAGAGAGAGAGAUAAG